CAAUAGCGUAUAUUAAAGUUGUUGCAGUUAAAAAGCUAGUAGUUGGAUUUCUGGUUGAAGCGACCGGUCGGGCGUUGAUUCGUCUGCACUGGAGUCGGUUUUGGCCAUCCUCUAGGAAAGUGCGUCUGGUAUUAAGUUAUCGGGCGUAUGAUCCUGGUCUUUUACUGUGAAAAAAUUAGAGUGUUUAAAGCAGGCCUUCGCCUUGAAUACAUUAGCAUGGAAUAAUAAGAUAGGACUUUGGUCUAUUUUGUUGGUUUGCAGACCGAAGUAAUGAUUAAUAGGGAUAGUUGGGGGUAUUUAUAUUCCGAUGUCAGAGGUGAAAUUCUUAGAUUUUCGGAAGAUAAACUUAUGCGAAAGCAUUUACCAAGGAUGUUUUCAUUAA
rnacentral:rRNA from 1 species